rnacentral:lncRNA from 10 species
UGUAAUCCAGCAUAUAAACAGAGCCAAAGACAAAAACCACAUGAUUAUCUCAAUAGAUGCAGAAAAGGGCUUAGUUAUUGAUGUGAAUAGCUAGACACACAGAUCACAAGACCUUGAGCUGACCCAAGGUGAAGAUUGAGAGUUGGCAUUAAGCCAGCAUUGACAAGGGGGCUGUAUAUCCAUGACAAGGUGGACAGGUGAGAAAAACAAAACAACACAAAAAAUCCUCUUUAUCUUCAAGUUGAUAUAAUGUCUGUCUUGACUUUGCCUUAAACAGAGGGGGAAAAAAAACCCCUAAUCUUUUCUCAUAAUUUGUAACUAAGCUGUCUACUCACACAAGUUGUGGUUUUAAAUUUACUUCACCUGUGGUGUUUGGAAGACUCCAAGCUAAUGAAUUAAAGUAGUUUGUGUUUAUAGCCCCCAAGGGUGCCUGCCAGGAACAAACAUUAAACUUCUGUAGAGGAAGCUACUCUCAAAUCUAAUUCCUCGGGGUUCAUGCAGAUGGAAAUCAGUGAAAUAAGAGUUCAUACUCUGUGUUAUAUCCAUUAUGAGUGAGAGGCAGCAGAGAAAAAGAAUAAAAACAGAAUGUACCCUUAAGGACUUAAGGAUCUGUUACAAAAUGUAAAAUAACUAAAGUGUUUAAAAGAAAUAAACUCGCAUUUUUUAAGGAUAUAUACAACUUAGUAGCCAGAAUAAUCCUCCCAGUUGAGAAUACAUUACUAUUCUAGAGUAAAAGCAGUGAAUCCACACAGCUUCAAACCUAAGCAUGGCAGGAGCCCUGGUAUGUCAGGGUCAAUGCUGGCCGUCACCCUGAGGCUUUUGGCUAAACCCUGGGGUCCUUGGGCAUUUGAUGUGAUGAUUGUGCAGGACAUAAAGGACAGAAAGCCCAAGCCUAUUUAAGACCUGCAUCAUCAUUAGUGAACAAAAAGUUAACUUUACUAAACUGAAAAGAACAGAGAAAUUUGCCCAUCUUAACUCUGGUGCUGGUUAGAGGGGGAAAGUAAUCUCCCUCGAGAAUGUGCAACCAAAAUCUUGAUGCAGGAUUCUGGUCAGAGUUUACGUUACCUUUGUAGUCUGAAAAACCCAAAUAGAUAAAUCAUUUUAAGUUGGCUGUGGAUUACUUGUGUCCACAGCACACAAACAAAAUCAGAGAUCUUCUUUGGAAUAAUUCAGCUUUAAUCUAGAUCUUAAAGAAUUCCCAUAAAUUUCCAAGAAAAGUGAUCGUUUCAUUGUCUUAACAGUUAAAGAAAUAAAGUGAAAUUGUAGAAAGGGAGUAAGAGGCUAUCAAGAAUGACCAAGCAGAUUUUGAAGAAGAGCAAAUGGAACUUCUAGAAAUGAAAAUGUAGUACAUUAUUAAAAUCAAAAAGUGGUCAGGCACAGUGGCUCACACCUGUAAUCUUAGGAAUUUUGGAGGCCGAGGCAGGAGGAUUGCUUGAGCCCAGGAGUUAAGCCUGGGCAAUAUAGUGAGACCCCAUCUCUACCAAAAAUUUUUUUUUUACAGUUAGCCAAGCAUGGUGGUGCACACCUGUAGCCCCAGAUACUUGUGAGGCUGGGGCAGGGGGAUCGCUUGAGCACAGAAGGUUGAGGCUGCAGUGAGCUGUGAUCAUAACCGCUGUACUCCAGUCAGGACAACAGAGCAAGACCCUGUCUGAAAAAAAUAAAAAUAAACUGCAUGGGUAAAUUGAGCAGUAGAAUCAAUGUAACUGAAGAGAGAACUCAUGAAUUAAGAAAGCUAGGAAGAACUUAUCCAGACUGUAGUACAGAGUUAGAAAAUAUGACAGAGUUGUUAAGUUACAUGCAAGAUAGUAAAGAAAUUUAACAUGUCUAAUGGGAGUUUAAGAAGAAGAGGGAGAAUGGGGCAGAGACAAUAUUUGAAGAGAUGAUGGUUGGGAAUUCUUCAUAAUUGAUGAAAGACACUAAAGCCGGGCACAGUGGCUCAUGCCUAUAAUCCCAGCACUUUGGGAGGCUGAGGUGGGUGGAUCACUGAAGGCCAGGAGUUUGAGACCAGCCUGGCCAACAUGGUGAAACCCCGUCUCUGCUUAUAAUACCAAAAUUAGCUGGGCGUGGUGGCUCGCACCUGUAGUCCCAGCUGCUUGGGAGGCUGAGGUGUGAGAAAUGCUUGAACCUGGGAGGUGGAAAUUGCAGUGAACCGAGAUCACACCACUGCACUCCAGCCUGGGCAACAGAGUGAGACUCUGUCUCAAAAAAAAAAAAAAGACACUAAAGCACAGAUUGAAGAAACCCAAUAAAUUCCAAGUAAGACAAAAAUAAAAAAUCUGCAGUUAAACAUAUCAUAGUAAGGCCAGGUACGGUGGCUCACGCCUUAAUCCCAAUGCUUUGGGAGGCUGAGGUGGGCUGAUCGCUUGAGGACAGGAGUUUGAGAACAGCCUGGCCAACAUGGCAAAACCCUGUCUCCACUAAAAAUACAAAAACUAGCCAGGCGUGGUGGUACAUGUCUGUAAUCCCAGCUACUAGGGAAACUGAGGCACGAGAAUCACUUAAACCUGGGAGGCAGAGAUUGCAGUAAGCUGAGAUCACACCACUGUACUCCAACCUGGGUGACAGAGUAAAGUUCUGUCUCAAGAAAAAAAAAAAAAAGUAAAAUUGCACAACACGAAAGGCACAGAAGCCACUAGAAAAAGAAACUACCUACAAAGGAAAGCCAAAGAUUAACUGCAAAGAAAACAGGGAAAUCUGAAUAGUCUGAAUAGGAAGGGUGGAGCAUAUCAGUGUUCAUGUCCUGUUUCUGAUUUUAUACUAUAGCUUUGUAAGAUGUUACCAUUGAGAGAAACUGCAUAAAGAACACACAGGAAUCUUAAAACUUAAAACUGCAUAGGAAUCUAUAAUUAUCUCAAAGAGGUUUAAUUUUAAAAGGAGGGAGCCCUUAAAAUUACUGUAUCUCCUCUAAAGUGUGAUUUAAUGGCUGCGUUUUUCAUAAUAUUAUUUAAAGAUAGUAAAGCAUCUUUAAAAAAUUAAUCCAAAAGAAGGAAACAAAGGAGAGGAUAAAAGGAAAAUGAAAAAUCAAGACAAAAGCAUGCAUAUAAAAAGGUAAAAAUAGGGCGUGAGCCGCCGUGCCUCACCUAUUACUUUAAAAUUUAUUAAUGUAGUUUAAAUUCGGGAGAAAAACCCUCUUAUCUAAAAAGAUCAAAACAUCAAAAAAUUCAAACAUUUAUGAUAAAAAUUGUUGGCAACUAGGCACAG